UACGGAGGGCGCAAGCGUUGUUCGGAAUUACUGGGCGUAAAGGGCGCGUAGGCGGUCUGUUAAGUUUGGUGUGAAAGCCCCCGGCUCACCUGGGGAACUGCGCCGGAAACCGACAGACUCGAGUACCGGAGAGGAGAGUGGAAUUCCUGGUGUAGCGGUGAAAUGCGCAGAUAUCAGGAGGAACACCGGUGGCGAAGGCGGGUCUCUGGGCAGAUACUGACGCUGAGGAGCGAAAGCGUGGGGAGCGAACAGG
rnacentral:rRNA from 1 species